rnacentral:rRNA from 1 species
UACGGAGGGUGCAAGCGUUGUCCGGAAUCACUGGGCGUAAAGCGUGCGCAGGCGGUUUUGUAAGUCUGUCGUGAAAGCCCCGGGCUUAACCUGGGAAUUGCGAUGGAGACUGCAAGGCUUGAAUCUGGCAGAGGGGGGUAGAAUUCCACGUGUAGCAGUGAAAUGCGUAGAGAUGUGGAGGAACACCGAUGGCGAAGGCAGCCCCCUGGGUCAAGAUUGACGCUCAUGCACGAAAGCGUGGGGAGCAAACAGG